UACGGGGGGGGCAAGCGUUGUUCGGAAUUACUGGGCGUAAAGGGUUCGUAGGUGGCCCGCUAAGUCACACGUGAAAUCCCUCAGCUUAACUGGGGAACUGCGUGUGAGACUGGCAGGCUUGAGUCCGGGAGAGGAACGCGGAAUUCCAGGUGUAGCGGUGAAAUGCGUAGAUAUCGGGAGGAACACCGGUGGCGAAGGCGGCGUUCUGGACUGUAUCUGACACUGAGGAACGAAAGCCAGGGGAGCAAAC
rnacentral:rRNA from 1 species